GCUGGGCGUGGUGGCGGGCGCCUGUAAUCCCAGCUACUCAGGAGGCUGAGGUGGGAGAAUUGCUUGACCCCGGGAGGCGGAGGUUGCAGUGAGCUGAGAUCACGCCACUGCACUUCAGCCUGGGUGACAGAGCAAGACUCUGUCUCAA
rnacentral:SRP_RNA from 1 species